GAGGAACGCUGGCGGCGUGCCUAACACAUGCAAGUCGAGCGAGAAAUAAAGAAACAGAGAUUUCGGUCAAAGUUUUUUUAUGGAAAGCGGCGGACGGGUGAGUAACGCGUAGGCAACCUGCCCUUUGCACAGGGAUAGCCUCGGGAAACCGGGAUUAAAACCUGAUAAUGCCGAAAGAACACAUGUUCGUUCGGUCAAAUAUUUAUAGGCAAAGGAUGGGCCUGCGUCUGAUUAGCUUGUUGGUGAGGUAACGGCUCACCAAGGCGACGAUCAGUAGCCGACCUGAGAGGGUAAACGGCCACAUUGGAACUGAGACACGGUCCAAACUCCUACGGGAGGCAGCAGUGGGGAAUAUUGCACAAUGGGCGAAAGCCUGAUGCAGCAACGCCGCGUGAGUGAAGAAGGCCCUUGGGUCGUAAA
rnacentral:rRNA from 1 species